rnacentral:piRNA from 1 species
UGAAAAGUAACUGCCCGGGCCA